GGGAAUAUUGGGCAAUGGCCGAGAGGCUGACCCAGCCAUGCCGCGUGCAGGAAGAAGGCCUUCUGGGUUGUAAACUGCUUUUAUCGGGGUAGAAAACGCUCCUGCGGGAGUAACUGACGGUACCCGAUGAAUAAGCACCGGCUAACUCCGUGCCAGCAGCCGCGGUAAUACGGAGGGUGCAAGCGUUGUCCGGAUUUAUUGGGUUUAAAGGGUGCGUAGGCGGCCCGUUAAGUCAGCGGUGAAAUCCCAGGGCUCAACCCUGGAACUGCCGUUGAUACUGGCGGGCUUGAGUUCGGUCGAGGCGGGCGGAACUGGUGGUGUAGCGGUGAAAUGCAUAGAUACCACCAAGAACCCCGAUUGCGAAGGCAGCUCGCUGGGCCGAAACUGACGCUGAGGCACGAAAGCGUGGGGAGCGAACAG
rnacentral:rRNA from 1 species